CCUACGGGUGGCAGCAGUGGGGAAUAUUGGACAAUGGGCGAAAGCCUGAUCCAGCCAUGCCGCGUGUGUGAAGAAGGCCUUCGGGUUGUAAAGCACUUUCAGUGGGGAAGAAAGCCUUGGGGCUAAUACCCUCGAGGAAGGACAUCACCCACAGAAGAAGCACCGGCUAGCUCCGUGCCAGCAGCCGCGGUAAUACGGAGGGUGCGAGCGUUAAUCGGAAUUACUGGGCGUAAAGCGCGCGUAGGCGGUCUGAUAAGCCGGUUGUGAAAGCCCCGGGCUCAACCUGGGAACGGCAUCCGGAACUGUCAGGCUAGAGUGCAGGAGAGGAAGGUAGAAUUCCCGGUGUAGCGGUGAAAUGCGUAGAGAUCGGGAGGAAUACCAGUGGCGAAGGCGGCCUUCUGGACUGACACUGACGCUGAGGUGCGAAAGCGUGGGUAGCAAACAGGAUUAGAUACCCGUGUAGUC
rnacentral:rRNA from 1 species